rnacentral:rRNA from 1 species
AACGAACGCUGGCGGCAGGCCUAACACAUGCAAGUCGAACGAACCUUCGGGUGAGUGGCGCACGGGUGCGUAACGCGUGGGAAUGUACCCCUAGGUGAGGAAUAACGUAGAGAAAUUUGCGCUAAUACCUCAUAAUAACUUCGGUUCAAAGAUUUAUCGCCUAGGGAUCAGCCCGCGUCAGAUUAGAUAGUUGGUGAGGUAACGGCUCACCAAGUCGACGAUCUGUAGGGGGUCUGAGAGGAUGAUCCCCCACACUGGUACUGAGACACGGACCAGACUCCUACGGGAGGCAGCAGUGAGGAAUAUUGGACAAUGGAGGCAACUCUGAUCCAGCCAUGCCGCGUGAGUGAAGAAGGCCUUAGGGUUGUAAAGCUCUUUCAAUUGCGAAGAUAAUGACGGUAACAAUAGAAGAAGCUCCGGCUAAAUUCGU